AUUCAGGAUCAUUGCAUCUAUGCUCAUCAAGGAUUUUGGUCUGUAGUUCUCUUUUUCUGUUGUUUCUCUAUCUGGCUUUGAUAUUAAGGUGAUACUGGUCCCAAAGA